rnacentral:rRNA from 1 species
UGCAGUCGAGCGGACAGAAGGGAGCUUGCUCCCGGAUGUUAGCGGCGGACGGGUGAGUAACACGUGGGUAACCUGCCUGUAAGACUGGGAUAACUCCGGGAAACCGGAGCUAAUACCGGAUAGUUCCUUGAACCGCAUGGUUCAAGGAUGAAAGACGGUUUCGGCUGUCACUUACAGAUGGACCCGCGGCGCAUUAGCUAGUUGGUGAGGUAACGGCUCACCAAGGCGACGAUGCGUAGCCGACCUGAGAGGGUGAUCGGCCACACUGGGACUGAGACACGGCCCAGACUCCUACGGGAGGCAGCAGUAGGGAAUCUUCCGCAAUGGACGAAAGUCUGACGGAGCAACGCCGCGUGAGUGAUGAAGGUUUUCGGAUCGUAAAGCUCUGUUGUUAGGGAAGAACAAGUGCAAGAGUAACUGCUUGCACCUUGACGGUACCUAACCAGAAAGCCACGGCUAACUACGUGCCAGCAGCCGCGGUAAUACGUAGGUGGCAAGCGUUGUCCGGAAUUAUUGGGCGUAAAGGGCUCGCAGGCGGUUUCUUAAGUCUGAUGUGAAAGCCCCCGGCUCAACCGGGGAGGGUCAUUGGAAACUGGGAAACUUGAGUGCAGAAGAGGAGAGUGGAAUUCCACGUGUAGCGGUGAAAUGCGUAGAGAUGUGGAGGAACACCAGUGGCGAAGGCGACUCUCUGGUCUGUAACUGACGCUGAGGAGCGAAAGCGUGGGGAGCGAACAGGAUUAGAUACCCUGGUAGUCCACGCCGUAAACGAUGAGUGCUAAGUGUUAGGGGGUUUCCGCCCCUUAGUGCUGCAGCUAACGCAUUAAGCACUCCGCCUGGGGAGUACGGUCGCAAGACUGAAACUCAAAGGAAUUGACGGGGGCCCGCACAAGCGG